rnacentral:rRNA from 1 species
GACGAACGCUGGCGGCGUGCUUAACACAUGCAAGUCGAACGGUAAGGCCCUUCGGGGUACACGAGUGGCGAACAGGUGAGUAACACGUGGGUGAUCUGCCCUGCACUUCGGGAUAAGCCUGGGAAACUGGGUCUAAUACCGGAUAGGACUCCUGGCUUCAUGGUUGGGGGUGGAAAGCUAUUGCGGUGUGGGAUGGGCCCGCGGCCUAUCAGCUUGUUGGUGGGGUAAUGGCCUACCAAGGCGACGACGGGUAGCCGGCCUGAGAGGGUGACCGGUCACACUGGGACUGAGAUACGGCCCAGACUCCUACGGGAGGCAGCAGUGGGGAAUAUUGCACAAUGGGCGCAAGCCUGAUGCAGCGACGCCGCGUGAGGGAUGACGGCCUUCGUGUUGUAAACCUCUUUCAGCUAUGACGAAGCGCAAGUGACGGUAGUAGCAGAAGAAGGACCGGCCAACUACGUGCCAGCCGCCGCCGUAA